GUGACUUGAGGGGACGUCCAGCUGGGUCCCGGCUCCACAGGUGCUCCCAAAUGUCAGUGUCUGAGGGCAGAAGAGGCGACUUCUGGAGACUUCUGCGUGACUGAGCUGGACAAAACACUAAUUACUAAAAAGAAUUUAUUCUGGGAAAAUACCAGGACACGGCAAGACAGGACAGGAAGAAGCCAAUCCUCAAAAUCUCAUUAUAUAUUCAUGAAGAACUUUUUGAGCAGCUUGGGAAUUUUAAUUCUGUUAAACACUGGAAAAUCCAGAAAGCACGAGCUUUGCAGCAUAAGCCCAGCAGGCUGAAAGAAGGAGCGUACAUUCGGCCAUGUUGGAGCGGUUAGCGCAGUGACCGUGCGGCUGCAGAAACUCAAAAUGGAGGGGCAGGGGGAUGUCAGCCGCUCAGUGACGCCGCGAUGUUUAGGUCGGCUGUACACCGUGUCCCGGGAACGAUAUUCUGUUACGGCGGUUCAGUUACAGGCACGGCGUAAAUCUGCCCAACUAAGGGGGGGUUGCAAAAGACUGAGGGUGUAAUUUCAGUCCAAAGGGCGACGCAUGUAGUGACACGGCUCUCACUCCCCCCAGCAGUAUGUAACCGUGAUUCAAUAAGCAGAAGCCAUAACCGAAGGGCGUUACAGUGGAAUGCAGGCAUGAUGUCACAACUCCUCACCCUUAACCGGAAACUCUACUGCGACCCUCCAUGGCGAUAGUGGAGAGGAAACCCCCCAGAGAAUCCCUCAACUUGGACAUCAGGAAUCAAUGCCAGCAGUGAAGACAAUCAGUGGGAAUUGGCCAAGUUUCGGAAAUUUGCGAUAUGACUCACAACGGCUGCUUCGGUAAACGAGCAAAUGGAGUGACCUCAGAAUUCAAGAUGGCUGCAUCCGUUAUCAGCAGAAGUGAAAGCUGUAGUUAUAUACUGUUUAUUAGCACUUAUGUCUUAUUUGUGGCUCAUUAAAUCAGACGUACACACAA